UACGUAGGGUGCAAGCGUUAAUCGGAAUUACUGGGCGUAAAGCGUGCGCAGGCGGUUUUGUAAGUCUGUCGUGAAAUCCCCGGGCUCAACCUGGGAAUGGCGAUGGGAGACUGCAAGGCUAGAGUUUGGCAGAGGGGGGUAGAAUUCCACGUGUAGCAGUGAAAUGCGUAGAUAUGUGGAGGAACACCGAUGGCGAAGGCAGCCCCCUGGGUCAAAAACUGACGCUCAUGCA
rnacentral:rRNA from 1 species